rnacentral:rRNA from 1 species
UACGGAGGGUGCAAGCGUUGUCCGGAUUUAUUGGGUUUAAAGGGUGCGUAGGCGGCCCGGUAAGUCAGUGGUGAAAGCCUCCAGCUCAACUGGAGAACUGCCAUUGAUACUGCCGGGCUUGAGUACAGACGAGGUUGGCGGAAUUGAUUGUGUAGCGGUGAAAUGCAUAGAUAUCGGGAAGAACACCUAUGGCGAAGGCAGCUCUCUGGGACGGUACUGACGCUGAGACGCGAAAGCGUGGGGAGCGAACAGG